GUCGGUAAGAAAAGAUGAAUUUUAAAUUUCUCGCGGCCUUUUGUUGUCUGGUGUCGGCCGGGGCCAGCUACCGGGCCAGGGCGACGGACGUCUGGCCGGUGGGAGAAUAUCUGGACGACGACGUAAAGGUGAUAACCAGUGACCGGCCCAACAAUCUGGAAAUCAAAGAUAAAGACGGAGGAGCUUUAAAAAAAAUUACGGUCACGGGAUAUUUGCUAAGCGAUAUGCAAUUCGACGAUAUGGACAUAUUAGUUAUCGCCGUUCAUUCUCCCAAAGGUUUACAAGUAGCUAACGCUCCGGCUCCAUCGCGGGUCGUCCCUUGUUUGAUACUGAGAGAAGAAGCUCUGAAAAACCCUUUUCCGCGACUAAUUCCGGAAUGCGACGCCGACGGAGAUUACAACCAACGCCAAUGUCUGUACGGCGAUAAGGAACGGUGUCAAUGUUGGAGCCGGGACGGAAGACCUCUGUCCCAUUCCUUCGCUAACGUAGUGGAUUGCGAAUGCCACAGAGAGAGAGACGACGCUUCCAGACCCGAAUGCAAGUGAAAGGUCGUUGCGCUGGCUGUGUUUUAAAGGGGCGACGAAUAUGGAAGAAAGAUUGGCGUAGAAGACGAAAAUAACAAGUCCGGAGACAAUGAGGAAUACGAAAUAUUUUACAGUAAGGUAUGUCUUGUUUUUAACUUUUGUCAAUUUUUAUUACAAAUGUAUAACGGAUGCGAUGACAGAAGUCGACUCUUCGACGUUUACCGAAUUGUUAAGGUAUAAAAUACUAAAUUUAACAUCUAUUUACAUAG